rnacentral:rRNA from 1 species
AUGCCUGUACCAUAACCGACACAGGUGGGUAGGUAGAGUAUACUAAGGGGCGCGAGAUAACUCUCUCUAAGGAACUCGGCAAAAUGACUCCGUAACUUCGGGAGAAGGAGUGCCUUAUUUAUAAGGUUGCAAUGACAAGAUCCAAGCAACUGUUUAUCAAAAACACAGGUCUCCGCUAAGUCGUAAGACGAUGUAUGGGGGCUGACGCCUGCCCAGUGCCAGAAGGUUAAAGAAGUUGGUUAGUGUAUGCGAAGCUGAUGACUGAAGCCCUGGUGAACGGCGGCCGUAACAAUAACGGUCCUAAGGUAGCGAAAUUCCUUGUCGGGUAAGUUCCGACCCGCACGAAAGGCGUAAUGAUUUGGAUACUGUCUCAGAGAGAGGCUCGGUGAAAUAGACUUGUCUGUGAAGAUGCGGACUACCUGCACCAGGACAGAAAGACCCUAUGAAGCUUUACUGUAACUUGAAAUUGGAAUUGGACUUUGCUUGCGCAGUAUAGGUGGGAAGCGUUGAAGAUAUUCUUGCGGGAGUAUUGGAGCUAUCAGUGAGAUACCACUCUUGUAAUGUUAGAUUUCUAACUUUGAACCAUAAUCUGGUCAAAGAACAGUUUCAGGUGGGCAGUUUGACUGGGGCGGUCGCCUCCCAAAUGGUAACGGAGGCGUACAAAGGUUUCCUCUGAACGGAUAGAAAUCGUAUCUAGAGUGUAAAGGCAUAAGGAAGCUUGACUGUGAGACCUACAAGUCGAGCAGGGACGAAAGUCGGUCUUAGUGAUCUGACGGUACUGAGUGGAAAGGCCGUCACUCAACGGAUAAAAGUUACUCUAAGGAUAACAGGCUGAUCUCCCCCAAGAGUUCACAUCGACGGGGAGGUUUGGCACCUCGAUGUCGGCUCAUCGCAUCCUGGGGCGGUAGUACGUCCCAAGGGUUGGGCUGUUCGCCCAUGAAAGCGGUACGCGAGCUGGGUUCAGAACGUCGUGAGACAGUUCGGUCCAUAUCCGGUGUAGGCGUUAGAAUAUUGAGAGGAGCCUUCUUUAGUACGAGAGGACCGAGAAGGACACACCGCUGGUGUACCAGUUAUCGUGCCAACGGUAAACGCUGGGUAGCUAUGUGUGGAGUGGAUAACCGCUGAAAGCAUCUAAGUGGGAAGCCCACCUCAAGAUGAGUACUCUCACCAUAUUGGUUAAGGUCACGGGAAGAACACCCGUUGAUAGGCAUCAGGUGGAAGUGCAGUAAUGUAUGAAGCCGAAGUGUACUAACAGACCGAGGGCUU